GGGCAGGGCAGUGAGAUAUGGGCAGGGCAGUGAGAUAUGGGCAGCGGAGUGAGAUAUGGGCAGGGCAGUGAGAUAUGGGCUGGGCAGGGCAGUGAGAAAUGGGCAGGGCAGUGAGAUAUGGGCAGGGCAGUGAGAUAUGGGCUGGGCAGGGCAGUGCGAUAUGGGCAGGGCAGGGAGAUAUGGGCAGGGAGAUAUGGGCUGGGCAGGGCAGUGAGUUAUGGGCUGGGCAGGGCAGUGAGAUAUGGGCUGGGCAGGGCAGUGAGAUAUGGGCAGGGCAGUGAGAUGUGGGCUGGGCAGGGAGUGAGAUAUGGGCUGGGCAGGGCAGUGAGAUAUGGGCAGGGGAGUGAGAUAUGGGCUGGGCGGGGCAGGGAGAUAUGGGCUGGGCAGGGGAGUGAAAUGUGGGCUGGGCAGGGCAGUGAGAUAUGGGCAGGCAGUGAGAUAUGGGCAGGGGAGUGAGAUAUGGGCAGGGCAGUGAGAUAUGGGCUGGGCAGGGCAGUGAGAUAUGGGCAGGGCAGUGAGAUAUGGGCAGGGCAGUGAGAUAUGGGCUGGGCAGGGCAGUGAGAUAUGGG
ensembl:lncRNA